rnacentral:rRNA from 1 species
UGCAGUCGAGCGGAUGAGGGUAGCUUGCUACUGGAUUCAGCGGCGGACGGGUGAGUAAUGCUUAGGAAUCUGCCUAUUAGUGGGGGACAACGUUCCGAAAGGAGCGCUAAUACCGCAUACGUCCUACGGGAGAAAGCAGGGGACCUUCGGGCCUUGCGCUAAUAGAUGAGCCUAAGUCGGAUUAGCUAGUUGGUAGGGUAAAGGCCUACCAAGGCGACGAUCUGUAGCGGGUCUGAGAGGAUGAUCCGCCACACUGGGACUGAGACACGGCCCAGACUCCUACGGGAGGCAGCAGUGGGGAAUAUUGGACAAUGGGGGGAACCCUGAUCCAGCCAUGCCGCGUGUGUGAAGAAGGCCUUUUGGUUGUAAAGCACUUUAAGCGAGGAGGAGGCUACCUAGAUUAAUACUUUAGGAUAGUGGACGUUACUCGCAGAAUAAGCACCGGCUAACUCUGUGCCAGCAGCCGCGGUAAUACAGAGGGUGCGAGCGUUAAUCGGAUUUACUGGGCGUAAAGCGUGCGUAGGCGGCCAAUUAAGUCAAAUGUGAAAUCCCCGAGCUUAACUUGGGAAUUGCAUUCGAUACUGGUUGGCUAGAGUAUGGGAGAGGAUGGUAGAAUUCCAGGUGUAGCGGUGAAAUGCGUAGAGAUCUGGAGGAAUACCGAUGGCGAAGGCAGCCAUCUGGCCUAAUACUGACGCUGAGGUACGAAAGCAUGGGGAGCAAACAGGAUUAGAUACCCUGGUAGUCCAUGCCGUAAACGAUGUCUACUA